CUCCAAUCCAUCUCAAGCUCACCAUGGCUCUAUCGAUCAGAAGAAGAAUAAUAAUAGAGGAGUGGUGAUCAAGAAACGAUUGAAAUCGUCGGAAGAGAAGGGAAGAAAUCAGGAAACGGAAAGGGGGGAGAGAUAUGGUUUUCAGCAGUGUUCUAGUGUUAGCUGUAGCGAACCUAUCGGCGGAUGUGUGCCAAUACAUAGCUUGUAAUCCGGAGAGACUGAGCAGCCAGCAAGUGUUGGAGCUCGUUUGUUGCAUCCCUUUGCAACAGUUGGGCCGUCUUGCUCUUUGUUUGUGGACUUUCUUCUGCUUACCGCCUCCCGAUUCUUACUACCGUUACUCUUCCGAUGAUUCCGAUUCGUCUGGUUCCGAUCUCGACAGCGACGAUUCACAUUCAGAUUGAUUCUGUAUUUUCUGUAUGGAUUUGCACAGGGUUGGUUCGGUAGUCAUUGUUUGGAGGAAGACAUUUCGGUUCUUCAUGGUAGUUACAUGAAAAAAACAGGCGGUUGUUGUAUUGAGAAGUUUGUGGAAGUUAUUGUAACGAAGGUUGGUAGAUUUUCUAGGGAAGAAGUUAUCUGGAGCUAUAUUUUCAUGGAGGUGGCUGUUUGUUCUGGAUUUGACUCAGGUCUGUGAGAACCAGCAAUUUUGCUACUCAGGCCUUCAAGCAACCAUGCUUCCCAGUGAGGGCAAUUGGCUAUUAUAUGUGGACCCAUCUGAGUUGUUCUUUGUGUUCUCUACCUCAGUAUCUCUCGUUGUCAGCAAUCCUAGAAGAGCUCAAGAACUUCUCUUGCGAAUGAAAGUGUUGAUUUUUCUUUUGUUUAUCCUCUCUUGCAGGGAAGAACAAAUUAUGCACUUGAA